ACUCAAAUGAAUUGACGGGGGCCCGCACAAGCAGUGGAGCAUGUGGUUUAAUUCGAUGCAACGCGAAGAACCUUACCUGGGCUCGAAAUGUAGAGGAUGACAUCAGAGAUGAUGUUUCUCGAAAGAGUCUCUAUAUAGGUGCUGCAUGGCUGUCGUCAGCUCGUGCCGUGAGGUGUUUGGUUAAGUCCAGCAACGAGCGCAACCCUUAUCGUUAGUUGCCAGCGCGUUAUGGCGGGAACUCUAACGAGACUGCCUGGGUUAACCAGGAGGAAGGUGAGGAUGACGUCAAGUCCGCAUGGCCUUUAUGUCCAGGGCAACACACGUGCUACAAUGGUCGGUACAGAAGGCAGCGAAACCGCGAGGUGGAGCAAAUCCUACAAAACCGAUCUCAGUUCAGAUUGGAGUCUGCAACUCGACUCCAUGAAGUUGGAAUUGCUAGUAAAGGCGUGUCAGCUACAACGCCUUGAAUACGUUCCCGGGCCUUGUACACACCGCCCGU
rnacentral:rRNA from 1 species